AAAAGUUUCAUUCCUUCAAUUCUGUUGUUGUAUGGUUUUUAUACUAGCAAAUAAAGUCCUAGUGUGUCGUCUGAUACAAUAUUACACCGCCGGUGAAUGUCCUAGCUGUGUACGGUACUAAAUCGUUUCUUUUCGUUUCUCAAUAAUAUUCACAUAUUCCUUGUUAUCAGAGUCUAAAAUCGUAUACUUUUUAUUCGAUUUUAUUAAUUGAUCAAUUGUUUUUUCAAUAAGACCGUUCUUAUCCAAAUUCCAGAAUAUUUGUCACAGUAUAGCAAAUUCUAUUCUUACAUCGUGCUGUUGUAUCCAUCCUCUGAUAUAUAGUAUCUUUGUAAAAGUCUCAAAUAAUCAUAUAUCUGUGUACGUCCUUUCUUUAAUUAUUUAAUUUUAUAAGACAUAUCCUUUGUUAUAACUGUUCAAAAUUGCGUACCUAAGUUCAUAAGUCUGAUGCAAUAACACAGUCACGAUUAUGAUAGGACGUUCUAGCAAUGCGGAAGUUAUCUCGAGUGGAUAAAUAUGUGUCUUUACUUCCUGAUUUAAACGUAGUAACUGAUGUGUUUACAUUGUAUUAAGAGGUUUUGAAAAAGGCUACUUGCUUUUUCAGCAUGAAGCAGAGGAGCUUUUUAUUGCAUCUGAAAAAAGACACACACACAGCAGUUGUGAUAGGAUUCAGGAAGGAUAUGAAAUAUGAAGCUGCCUGUACAAAAAUGUUAAUUUAAACGUUUUGACAAAACCUUAUAUUCUCAAAGCACUGAUGGACAAGUUUCCAAUUCAGUCACAACAUAAAGCAAAGGCGGUGUGUAAUUGGAUAGACAUUGUCUGGGACUGAUGAUUCGUGGAAAAUUCGAUCUGUUAUUACAAUGAAAUUCUUCUUUAGUGAGUUCCAAAGUAUGAUUUCAUGAAAAGAUGUCUAGGAGGUUUUAAUCCGCAGUCUUGGGUAGCUGCUGUUUAAAGAAAAAGAAAAAAAUCUGCCAAGACAAUGAUUAUGUUAAUGAAACAUAUCUUUAUAGUAUACAUACUUCCCAUUAAAAAUAGAUUUUGGGCACAAGUUGUCAUACUGUUUGCAGAAUUCAAAAGGAAGAAUUGAUUAUGAUAAGUAUUGUUUAAGAAAUUUCUAAAAGUAAUUUGAAGAUGUAAGAUAAUUUAAAAUUAAGGAAGCGAUACAGUUGAAAACACAUAAUUGAUAUUAUCAUUGAAAUAUGAUAAACAUGUGCCAGUUGAUGUCAUUUUUUUUUUUUUUUUUUUUUUUGAAGAGACAUAUCUUCUUACAGUGUUACAAGCCUUAGGUAAAGUGAAAUCUAUGAAAAUAUUGCAAAUUAUUAUGUUUUUUUUCUCUUUGCUUCAUUGAAGUAUAUUAAUUUAAGGUAUUAGAUCACUAAUAGAGAACCUCCUUUCUGAAGAGUAUUUAAUUCCUACCAUCAGCCUACUUUUACUGCAAUUCUUAGAGGGAGUAGGUUCAAGCCCUACUUGGACCAAAUCAUUUUUCCUUAUUUUCCUUUUAUGUAGUAAGUUCUUACUUCUUUCAAGACUUAUUAAUGAUUUCUUGUACAAAAAUUGAAAAAGAUGAAUCUUAUUAGCGAUUUCUUGGUGAUUUACUACUUAAACAGAAGGGGUAGAGUUACACAUUUUUAGAAAUAUUGAGUUACACGCGGUGAAAGUUCUCUAUUUUGCCUUCACUCUUAGAUUAUGUACUGUGGAAGAAAUUUAAGUAGGUUUUACCUCUGCCCUAAGGUUAUUUUUUAAUUGAGUAAGCACAAUUCAAAACAGAAACACAGCAUUCGACCUUAUUUUUAGUAUUGAAGUAUUAAUUCUGUCUCAUUAAAUCCGUUUACUUGAGGCACUAUACAAAAAAUGAUAUUAAUAUUUUUAUUUUGUGUUUUAUAAUUGUUUACCAGUAGUUUGAUGUUUCUUUUAUCAAAAUUUAUGGUAAAAUGAGUUCUCUGCAAACGUUUUGAGUAGUGGCUAUCACUUUGAAAUUUUUCUCUACUUUAGCUUGAGGAGAUACCAUAAGUUAUACAAAAUUUAUAAAAAAAAUACGGCACGGUAAAGUUGUUUAAAAUAUGCAAAAUAGUCCAAAACACAAUUACCUUUUAGAAUAUACCAAGCAAAGGCCAUUUUUUUUUAAAAUUUACUAUUAGUGACCUAAUACCUUAAAGCUAGAGACAAAGCCUAAAUAUUUUUGACAACCUUUGUAUGUAAAAGUUUUGGGAAUGGCAACAGACAUUUGUAAAUAAAUAAAAAUAAAAGAAAUGCAGUCAGCAACCUGUCAAAAUAUUAGAAAGAGGCUCUCCCUGUUGUUUUAGCCCACUCACUUGAACAAAACUCAUGAUGUACGUGGAUAGUUGGAUAUCUAUCGCCCAUUCGUCAUUGUCUACAAUUUCUUUAAAGGACAAUGCCUUCUAAACCACUUUGCAUGGACAAGACUUCAAAGGAAUGUUUCUUUGGUUAUUCCCUUUCAGAAUUUUCUCAUCUAGAUCAUUCCUGCAGAAUUGCCUUUUUUGUCAUACCAUCCAAAAGGAAACAUGUAAAAAGAUCCUCCUCUUAGACAGAGCUCACCUGAUUUUUAUAUAGCAUCACAGAUAUGUUUAUUGGGUGAACCUCUACUUUAUUCCUUCAGACAUUUCGUUUUGUUUUAAAACAUGCCAGCCAGAUGGCAGAAAUAGUUUUCCAUAUAUAUAUAUAUAUCGAAACAAGGGAACUUUGAAAAUAUUCUUUGAAACUGGAUGAUUGAUUUCGGAAUGAUUUUACAGCAAUGUUUUCUAACUGCAUAUUAGUAGUGUCUGUAUUAAUUAUAGUACAAUAAUGGGAUACUCGUAUAUGUUUGAAAGAACGAUAUGUGAUGGAAGGACCAAAAAAAGUUGAAAAAUCUAGAGACUCGAAAAUAAAUUGUUUUCCUGUAUAAUUAUUAUAUAUACCUAUAUGUGAAAAGCACUAUCGGUUAGUUUCUUUAAUAGACAAUAGAAUUAUUAGCAGAAGAAAUCUGUGUUGUACUAACGGGAAAAACCAUUUUCAGUAUGUUUGUGCUGUGUCAUCACAUCUAAGCAAAAAGUGCUCGAGGUGAGUUGUCGAUGGUCUCCCUUCAUUGUAAACAAUUUGACUGUUAACUCUCUCUCACACACACACAAACACACGCUCACACACACACACACACACACAAUGUUAUUCCAGUCUUAAUAAAACUUGUUAAAAUAUAUUUCUCAAUCAAAUUGACUAGUUUGCUACAUUUUUUGAGGCCCCAGUUGGGUAACCCAGUUUAUUUUCCUUUGCAUAACAUACAUAUGACAUACAAUUAUAUAUACAAUGUCAGUGAUAUAUAUAGUCAAAAACAAACAUGAACUUAACAUGUUUCGAAUCAAAAUCACGUCAGAUUCAAUACGAAUAUUAUGCAAAGAGUUUUGGAAGGUAAGCAAAAGGAAGGAAGGAGAAGGAAGUAGAGAAAGAAAAAAGCUAUGUCGCUUGGGAGUUCUAACUUUGAUUAAUGAAAAAGUAGAUUAAAAAUGAGGAAUAAGGGAUGAUCGUUUCCUGGCUUCAGUAGUAAAUACUCAAUACUAGCAUGUGUACGAGAGUUUUAGGGGUUGUAAAGUUUAGUUUAGUCAGCUAUUAUAUUUCAUCGAACUUUGACCAUUUUUCUUCAUGUCUAUCUAACUUGUUUUGCAUUAAUGCGAUUUCUUUUUCAAUUUUUAUCCUAGCUUUCAAGUAUUGUACAAAGCAGUCAAACAUUGGAAUGUUUUUGCUGUACUUAGAUUUAAAUAUAAAAUAUUUCCAUAAUAUUAUUAUAUAUAAAGUUUAGAACAUCAUUUUUCUUAUUGUUUUGUGUUACACCGAAACAUAUGUCUUUGAUAUUCAGUUUCACGUCAAUUCCUUUAGUAGUCAAUAGAUUUUGAAUAUUGUUCCAAAUGGUUUGUACUUUGGGGCAUUCCAAUAUUAUGUGUUCAAUUGUUUCUGUAUUCAUGCAGCAGAAGUCACAUAGGUUACUGGGGGCCAGCUUACAGAUAAAUAGAUAUUUAUUUGUGGGCAACAGACUCAUUAAAAAAUUGUAUUGAAAACUGCGUAGAUUUGUAUCAAUGGUAGAAAGGAAUGGUACGCUAAAAAUAUUCUUCCAAUUAAGGUUUUCAUUUUCAAAAAAAAAAAUCCCAUUUCGCAGCAGCAGUUGGUUUUUCAUAUGGUUCAUUGGUUGCUUGUAAUUUAUAAAGAUACUGGUUGGGUGUUUUACAAACUUUUAGUUUUUCUAUAUGAAUGUUUGUUUUAUUUCCGUACAGGAAAUUUUCAGAGAUGCUUUCUAUUAAUAUUUUCGGUAUCUUUGUAACCAAUUGGUAGUAUUUGAGAUAAUCACUUUUUUCCAAGUUAAGUAUUCGUUCUGCUUCUUCAAACUUAUAAAACCUGUUUGUUCGGAAAUAAAAUACAUGUGAUUGAUCAAUA